rnacentral:miRNA from 1 species
GAAUCGCUUGAACCCAGGAGGUGGAGGCUGCAGUGGGCCAAGAUCGUGCCACUGCACUUCAGCCUGGGCGAGCAGAGUGAAACU